GCAUAUCAAUAAGCGGAGGAAAAGAAACUAACAAGGAUUCCCCUAGUAACUGCGAGUGAAGCGGGAAAAGCUCAAAUUUAAAAUCUGGCGGUCUUUGGCCGUCCGAGUUGUAGUCUGGAGAAGUGCUUUCCGCGCUGGACCGUGUAUAAGUCUCUUGGAACAGAGCGUCAUAGAGGGUGAGAAUCCCGUCUUUGACACGGACUACCAGUGCUUUGUGAUGCGCUCUCAAAGAGUCGAGUUGUUUGGGAAUGCAGCUCAAAAUGGGUGGUGAAUUCCAUCUAAAGCUAAAUAUUGGCGAGAGACCGAUAGCGAACAAGUACCGUGAGGGAAAGAUGAAAAGCACUUUGGAAAGAGAGUUAAACAGUACGUGAAAUUGCUGAAAGGGAAACGCUUGAAGUCAGUCGCGUUGUCCGGAACUCAGCCUUGCUUUCGCUUGGUGCACUUUCCGGAUGACGGGUCAGCAUCGAUUUUGACCGUCGGAAAAGGGCUGGAGUAAUGUGGCACCUCCGGGUGUGUUAUAGACUCUGGUCGCAUACGACGGUUGGGAUCGAGGAACGCAGCGCGCCGCAAGGCAGGGGUUCGCCCACUUUCGCGCUUAGGAUGCUGGCAUAAUGGCUUUAAACGACCCGUCUUGAAACACGGACCAAGGAGUCUAACAUACCUGCGAGUGUUUGGGUGGAAAACCCGAGCGCGUAAUGAAAGUGAAAGUUGAGAUCCCUGUCGUGGGGAGCAUCGACGCCCGGACCUGACGUUCUCUGACGGAUCCGCGGUAGAGCAUGUAUGUUGGGACCCGAAAGAUGGUGAACUAUGCCUGAAUAGGGUGAAGCCAGAGGAAACUCUGGUGGAGGCUCGUAGCGAUUCUGACGUGCAAAUCGAUCGUCAAAUUUGGGUAUAGGGGCGAAAGACUAAUCGAACCAUC
rnacentral:rRNA from 1 species